rnacentral:tRNA from 1 species
UGCGCUGCGCGGCCGCGCAGGCACGCCAAGCGCUGCUGGCGCUUGCCGCCGAACGGUUCGAUGUCGACGCGGCGCAAC